UUCCAUUUGUCUAUUUUCUAUGGAGGUCAAAGAGUUUUCCUGUAAACUUGAAGAGACUCUUAAAAUUUCCAGGACUGUUGACAUAAUUUCAUAAACUCUGGAAAAAAAAGAGAAAAAUGUUAGCUGUAGAUGAAAAUGUUUCCCUUUGCCAGCAGAUGUCACUGUUGCCUCUUAGCUCUGACCAUUUAGUGUCUAUAGGAGAUUGAGAUGAUGGAGAGCAAGAGAAGUAUUUUAUUAAAAUCUCUAAAAUGCCAAAGGAAGAAGGAAUAUGCUCCCCCAAAAUAAGGGAGUGCACUGAGAGAAAAGGCAUGGGAUCCCAGGAAUAGACUUUAAUAGAAGAGAGGCAAAGGAAUUCACCAGAAUGUAAUGAAAAGUCCUAGAUGAGAACUUAAGUGGAUCCAAGCAAAACUCUUCCAUACUACAGCAAGAAAACAAAAACUCCAAGAUGGAUAAAUCCAAAGGAAAAGCAAUGAUGUUUAGCCAGCAGAGUUUUAUUCUUGUGGUGAGUUUUAAG